rnacentral:rRNA from 1 species
GUAACCUGCCCUCCACUUCGGGAUAACCUCGGGAAAUCGUGGCUAAUACCGGAUAUGAGCACUCAUCGCAUGGUGGGUGUUGGAAAGAUUUAUCGGUGGGGGAUGGACUCGCGGCCUAUCAGUUUGUUGGUGAGGUGAUGGCUCACCAAGACGAUGACGGGUAGCCGGCCUGAGAGGGCGACCGGCCACACUGGGACUGAGACACGGCCCAGACUCCUACGGGAGGCAGCAGUGGGGAAUAUUGCACAAUGGGCGAAAGCCUGAUGCAGCGACGCCGCGUGGGGGAUGACGGCCUUCGGGUUGUAAACCCCUUUCCAGUAGGGAAGAAGCGAGAGUGACGGUACCUGCAGAAGAAGCGCCGGCUAACUACGUGCCAGCAGCCGCGGUAAUACGUAGGGCGCAAGCGUUGUCCGGAAUUAUUGGGCGUAAAGAGCUUGUAGGUGGCUUGUCGCGUCUGCCGUGAAAACCCGAGGCUCAACCUCGGGCGUGCGGUGGGUACGGGCAGGCUAGAGUGUGGUAGGGGAGACUGGAACUCCUGGUGUAGCGGUGAAAUGCGCAGAUAUCAGGAAGAACACCGAUGGCGAAGGCAGGUCUCUGGGCCAUUACUGACACUGAGAAGCGAAAGCAUGGGUAGCGAACAGGAUUAGAUACCCUGGUAGUCCAUGCCGUAAACGUUGGGCACUAGGUGUGGGGGACAUUCCACGUUUUCCGCGCCGUAGCUAACGCAUUAAGUGCCCCGCCUGGGGAGUACGGCCGCAAGGCUAAAACUCAAAGGAAUUGACGGGGGCCCGCACAAGCGGCGGAGCAUGCUGAUUAAUUCGAUGCAACGCGAAGAACCUUACCAAGGCUUGACAUGCACUGGACGGCUGCAGAGAUGUGGCUUUCUUUGGACUGGUGCACAGGUGGUGCAUGGUUGUCGUCAGCUCGUGUCGUGAGAUGUUGGGUUAAGUCCCGCAACGAGCGCAACCCUCGUUCUAUGUUGCCAGCACGUGAUGGUGGGGACUCAUAGGAGACUGCCGGGGUCAACUCGGAGGAAGGUGGGGACGACGUCAAAUCAUCAUGCCCCUUAUGUCUUGGGCUUCAAGCAUGCUACAAUGGUCGGUACAAUGGGUUGCGAAACUGUGAGGUGGAGCGAAUCCCAAAAAGCCGGCCUCAGUUCGGAUUGGGGUCUGCAACUCGACCCC